UACGAAGGGGGCUAGCGUUGCUCGGAAUGACUGGGCGUAAAGGGCGCGUAGGCGGCGGUGUAAGUCAGACGUGAAAUUCCUGGGCUCAACCUGGGGACUGCGUUUGAGACUGCAUUGCUAGAGGAUGGAAGAGGCUCGUGGAAUUCCCAGUGUAGAGGUGAAAUUCGUAGAUAUUGGGAAGAACACCGGUGGCGAAGGCGGCGAGCUGGUCCAUUACUGACGCUGAGGCGCGAUAGCGUGGGGAGCAAACAGGAUUAGAUACCCUGGUAGUCCACGCCGUAAACGAUGUGUGCUGGAUGUUGGGGUUCAUAGAACCUCAGUGUCGUAGCUAACGCGAUAAGCACACCGCCUGGGGAGUACGGCCGCAAGGUUG
rnacentral:rRNA from 1 species